AAGGCAGCGGCUUAACCCACUGAGCCACACAGGCGCCCCUGUAUCACAGUUUAUGAGCAAAGCUGCUGUAAACAUCCAUGUACAGGAUUUUGUGUGGACGGUUCGGAUUUUGGCCCUUCGAACAGAUUUCAUUUUUAAGUAAUCUCCACACCCAACAUAGGACUGGAACUCACAGUCCUCAGAUCAGAGUCGCAGGCUCCGCCAACUGAGCCAGGUGAAUUUUAAGAGCUCUUGGUGUAUUUUGGGUAGCAGUCCCUUAUCAGAUGUGUCCUUUUUUUUUUUUUUUAAAGAUUUUAAAAAUUUUUUAUUUAUUUUAGUGACAGAGAUCAUAAGUA